UCUGCCUGGUGAACGACUCCCAGCUGGACGAGAUGAGGUACGUGUGCAGCUCGUGCGGCAAGGCCUACAAGCACACGCAGAGCCUCUGGACGCACCAGCGCUUCGAGUGCGGCAAGCCGCCGUCCUUCUGCUGCCCUUGCUGCCCGCAGCGCUUCAAGCGAGCCGGCCACCUGCGCCGCCACGUGACGGUGGUGCACGGCGUGCUCGGCACGGGCGAGCGCAGCUAGCGCCUGCAGAUUGGUUCGAGAUUGCUCCCCCGCCGGCAGAGGCGUCGCCCUUUGUCCUGGCCCAGCCCGGCUACUCAGGCGGCGGCGGCGGCGGCGGCGGGCCCCACGGCAACCCCCACCUGGCCGCCCUGUCCCAGCCCACCCCCGGCGUGGGCUACAGCUGCCCGACCUGCGGCAAGACGUACCGACACCAGCCCAGCCUGUGGAAGCACCGCCGGUACGAGUGCGGCCAGGUGCCCCAGUUCCAGUGCCCGCUGUGCCCGCACCGCGCCAAGCGGAAGCACCACCUCGUCUACCACCUGCAGGCGCGCCACGGCAAGGCGCCCUAGCCCGCGCCCUAGCCCGCCUCUUGGUCCUGUUCAAUAAAGCGUGUUCCUUCAA